rnacentral:rRNA from 1 species
AGCGAACGUUAGCGGCAGGCCUAACACAUGCAAGUCGCACGAGAAUCCGGCUUCGGUCGGUAGUAAAGUGGCGGACGGGUGAGUAACACGUGGAUAAUCUGCCCUUCGGCGGGGGACGAACAGUCCGAAGGAUUGCUAAUACCGCAUACGUCAGCGAGGUCUUCGGACCUUGUUGGGAAAGAUGGCCUCUUCAUGAAAGCUAUCACCGAAGGAUGAGUCCGCGGCCCANCAGCUAGUUGGCGGGGUAAGUGGCCCACCAAGGCUUAGACGGGUAGCUGGUCUGAGAGGAUGAUCAGCCACACUGGAACUGAGACACGGUCCAGACUCCUACGGGAGGCAGCAGUGGGAAUAUUGGGCAAUGGGCGCAAGCCUGACCCAGCCAUGCCGCGUGAGUGAUGAAGGCCUUCGGGUCGUAA